UCUGGGCACUACCUGGGCACUCUCGAGCCCAUCAUCCCCUAGGCAGGCUGCACUGCUUGGUAUUUGCAGAGCUGAGGGGGUGGGGCAUGUGGGGACUGUGAAAUCGCCCUGAGAUGACCCACAGUCCUCAGCUGGGAAGUGAGCGCUGCAUCUCCUGCAGCGUCCUCCAUCCCUAGAGCCAUGGGGCCAGGAGGUGGCUCGUUGGUCUUUGUCUCUUAGAAGGUGGGGAAUAAUCAUCAUCUUGAAAAAGAAAAAAUGGUCAUUACUGAAGGAACCAUCUUAGGUUACAGCCACCUCUGGGUCAAUUCCCAACAUUCAAAAGCUGAGCAGGGCUUUAAAGCUAUCUUAUUAAUAAUUAUUUCUGUAUUGCGAACUUCAGCAUACUUUUUUCUAGUUACAUUUGAAAUGUUAUUCUUUUGGGAUGUGCUCAAGUGAGUACUGCUUUUUCCUCUGCCUUGCUUCAUUACUUUUUAGUUUCCUUCAUUUGAAUCAUCAUUGUAAGUCUCCCCUUCU
rnacentral:lncRNA from 1 species